CCCUACGGGGCGCAGCAGUGAGGAAUAUUGGUCAAUGGGCGGGAGCCUGAACCAGCCAAGUCGCGUGAGGGAAGACGGUCCUAUGGAUUGUAAACCUCUUUUGUCGGGGAGCAAAGAGAUCACGUGUGGUCAAAAGCGAGAGUACCCGAAGAAAAAGCAUCGGCUAACUCCGUGCCAGCAGCCGCGGUAAUACGGAGGAUGCGAGCGUUAUCCGGAUUUAUUGGGUUUAAAGGGUGCGCAGGCGGAAGAUCAAGUCAGCGGUAAAAUUGAGAGGCUCAACCUCUUCGAGCCGUUGAAACUGGUUU
rnacentral:rRNA from 1 species